UACAUAGGGUGCGAGCGUUAAUCGGAAUUAUUGGGCGUAAAGCGCGCGUAGGCGGCUUUGCAAGUCGGGUGUGAAAUCCCCAGGCUUAACCUGGGAACUGCAUUCGAGACUGCAUUGCUAGAGUAUGGGAGAGGGAAGUGGAAUUUCCGGUGUAGCGGUGAAAUGCGUAGAUAUCGGAAGGAACAUCAGUGGCGAAAGCGACUUCCUGGACCAAUACUGACGCUCAUGUGCGAAAGCGUGGGGAGCAAACAGG
rnacentral:rRNA from 1 species